GACGUAGGGGGCGAGCGUUGUCCGGAUUUAUUGGGCGUAAAGCGUGCGUAGGCGGCUGCGCAAGUCGGUUGUGAAACCCCGGGGCUCAACCCCGGAACUGCAUCCGAUACUGCGUGGCUAGAGGUAGGUAGGGGGAAGUGGAAUUCCCGGUGUAGUGGUGGAAUGCGUAGAUAUCGGGAGGAACACCAGUGGCGAAGGCGGCUUCCUGGACCGGUUCUGACACUGAGGAGCGAAAGCGUGGGGAGCGAUCCGG
rnacentral:rRNA from 1 species